UACAGAGGUCCCAAGCGUUGUUCGGAUUCACUGGGCGUAAAGGGUGCGUAGGUGGUCGGGUAAGUCUGAUGUGAAAUCUCCGAGCUUAACUCGGAAAUGGCAUUGGAUACUAUUCGGCUGGAGGUUUGGAGGGGGGACUGGAAUUCUCGGUGUAGCAGUGAAGUGCGUAGAUAUCGAGAGGAACACCAGUGGCGAAGGCGAGUCCCUGGACAACACCUGACACUGAGGCACGAAAGCUAGGGGAGCAAACAGG
rnacentral:rRNA from 1 species